rnacentral:rRNA from 1 species
CGCCCUCCCUCCGCCGCCACUCACGACUACCGUACGGGAGGCAGCAGUAAGGAAUAUUGGUCAAGUGGGCGGGAACGGCCUGAACCACGCCAUGCCGCGUGCAGGAAGACGGCCUACGGGUUGUAAACUGCUUUAUACGGAAUAAACCUUGGUACGCGUACCAAGCUGAAUGUACUGUAAGAAUAAGGAUCGGCUAACUCCGUGCCAGCCGCCGCGGUAAUAC